CACAAGGGAGGCUGGAGCGACUGCAGAUCGGUGACAAGAGCCACUUCAGUUCUGUUGUUCGUGUAUUGGAAGUACGUAUCCUCUAUCCGGGCAGGAGAUAGAGAACAAAAAUAAGAUGUAUAGGUUACUUCUUGGCCCAGAUGAGAGAACCCUCAUGUUGAAAAGUAUAAAGAAGUUCUGAAGCAAUUCCUAGUGUCUUUAGAAGCAUUCAUGUUUAAAAGCAACGGCAAUCUCCUCCGUUCAAGUUGAGCACUGGUCAUCGUCCAAGUUGAGCGCUAGAUGCCGUCCAAGUUCAAAGAUGAUUGUAUGCAAGUACAGAAGUUUGUUUUAGUGAGAAAAAAUGCGGGUUUUUGGACAAUAUUAUGUAUGUUUGAUUUGCUCAACCUUAGAACUUGGAGAUAUCCACUCUAUUUUUCUAUGAUGAAGGCACACAUGAGAUCAUGUGCAAUGGUUAUUCCCCUAUUUUGUUUCUUCAAAUGUGUAUUUUGUUUCUUAUAAUGUGUUGUUCCCUUGUUCGAUGAGGUAAAACAAAGAAAAAUAGUGAAAA